AGCGAACGCUGGCGGCAGGCUUAACACAUGCAAGUCGAGGCGGGCGUAGCAAUACGUCAGCGGCAGACGGGUGAGUAACGCGUGGGAACAUACCUUUUGGUCGGAACAACACAGGGAAACUUGUGCUAAUACCGGAUAAGCCCUUAACGGGGAAAGUAUUUUAGUCGACCGAAAGAUUGGCCCGCGUCUGAUUAGCUAGUUGGUGAGGUAACGGCUCACCAAGGCGACGAUCAGUAGCUGGUCUGAGAGGAUGAUCAGCCACAUUGGGACUGAGACACGGCCCAAACUCCUACGGGAGGCAGCAGUGGGGAAUAUUGGACAAU
rnacentral:rRNA from 1 species